UAAAGCGUGCGCAGGCGGUUUGUAAGACUGUCGUGAAAUCCCCGGGCUCAACCUGGGAAUGGCGAUGGUGACUGCAAGGAUAGAGUUUGGCAGAGGGGGGUAGAAUUCCACGUGUAGCAGUGAAAUGCGUAGAUAUGUGGAGGAACACCGAUGGCGAAGGCAGCCCCCUGGGUCAAAACUGACGCUCAUGCACGAAAGCGUGGGGAGCAAACAGGAUUAGAUACCCCAGU
rnacentral:rRNA from 1 species